CUUUCCGGCGCCAUGUUGGGCCUGUUUAUCAAGUCAGUUGGUCUGCAGACAGUAGAUUGCUUUUGAGUGGUAGUAAAGACUCUACUCUCAAGAUUUGGGAGAUUAGGACAAAAACGUUAAAACAAGAUCUUCCUGGUCAUGCAGACGAGUUUUUCGCGGUGGAUUGGAGUCCAGAUGGUGAGAAAGUAGUCUCUGGUGGUAAAGAAAGAAUUUUGAAGCUAUGGAAGGGUUAAAAAGAAAGAGCAUCGUGGACCUUUUUCAAGUAUAAGAUGUUUUGGAGAGUUUUCAUUGUUUUAAAAUUUAUGAUGUUCACAUUUUAAUGCAAAUUUAUUAAAUACUGUGCAAGUUGUAUGUUGGAUUCUUUCUCAUUGAAAUUUUGGCACAAGGCCG